GAUGAAGAACGUAGCGAAAUGCGAUACGUAAUGUGAAUUGCAGAAUUCAGUGAAUCAUCGAAUCUUUGAACGCAUAUUGCGCUCUUUGGUAUUCCGAAGAGCAUGCUUGUUUGAGUAUCAGUAAACACCUCAACCUCUUCUUGAUUUUUCAAAAGGAGGGUGGACUUGAGCUAUCCCAACAACCUUUACCGGUCGGCGGGCGGCUUGAAAUGCAGGUGCAGCUGGACUUUUAUCUGAGCUAAAAGCAUAUCUAUUUAGUCCUCGUCAAACAGGAUUAUUACUUUUGCUGCAGCUAACAUAAAGGAUAAUUGUCCUCUUUGCUGACUGAUGCAGGAUUUUACGACACUUUAUGUGUUGUUCAACUCGAUCACAAAUCAAGUAAGACUACCCGCUGAACUUAAGCAUAUCAAUAAGCGGAGGA
rnacentral:misc_RNA from 1 species